rnacentral:rRNA from 1 species
CCUACGGGAGGCAGCAGUGAGGAAUAUUGGUCAAUGGACGAGAGUCUGAACCAGCCAAGUAGCGUGAAGGAUGACUGCCCUAUGGGUUGUAAACUUCUUUUAUAUGGGAAUAAAAUGUUCCACGUGUGGGAUUUUGUAUGUACCAUCUGAAUAAGGAUCGGCUAACUCCGUGCCAGCAGCCGCGGUAAUACGGAGGAUCCGAGCGUUAUCCGGAUUUAUUGGGUUUAAAGGGAGCGUAGGUGGAUUGUUAAGUCAGUUGUGAAAGUUUGCGGCUCAACCGUAAAAUUGCAGUUGAAACUGGCAGUCUUGAGGACAGUAGAGGUGGGCGGAAUUCGUGGUGUAGCGGUGAAAUGCUUAGAUAUCACGAAGAACUCCGAUUGCGAAGGCAGUUCACUGGACUGCAACUGACACUGAGGCUCGAAAGUGUGGGUAUCAAACAGGAUUAGAUACCCGUGUAGUC